rnacentral:rRNA from 1 species
UGGGGAAUUUUGGACAAUGGGCGCAAGCCUGAUCCAGCCAUGCCGCGUGCAGGAUGAAGGCCUUCGGGUUGUAAACUGCUUUUGUACGGAACGAAAAGACUCUGGUUAAUACCUGGGGUCCAUGACGGUACCGUAAGAAUAAGCACCGGCUAACUACGUGCCAGCAGCCGCGGUAAUACGUAGGGUGCGAGCGUUAAUCGGAAUUACUGGGCGUAAAGCGUGCGCAGGCGGUUAUGUAAGACAGAUGUGAAAUCCCCGGGCUCAACCUGGGAACUGCAUUUGUGACUGCAUGGCUAGAGUACGGUAGAGGGGGAUGGAAUUCCGCGUGUAGCAGUGAAAUGCGUAGAUAUGCGGAGGAACACCGAUGGCGAAGGCAGCCCCCUGGGUCAAGAUUGACGCUCAUGCACGAAAGCGUGGGGAGCAAACAGGAUUAGAUACCCCGGUAGUCCCUGAGCGGGCUGGCAAGGCGCAU